rnacentral:rRNA from 1 species
GAUGAACGCUGGCGGCGUGCCUAAUACAUGCAAGUCGAACGAACAGACGAGGAGCUUGCUCCUCUGACGUUAGCGGCGGACGGGUGAGUAACACGUGGAUAACCUACCUAUAAUACUGGGAUCACUUCGGGAAACCGGCGCUAAUACCGGAUAAUCUAUUGAUCCGCAGGGUGGAAUAGUGAGAGUCGGUUUUUCUGGCACGUAUAGAUGGAUCUCGGCCGCAUUAGCUAGUUGUUACGUUAAAGGCUUACCACGGCAACUAUGCGUAGCCGACCUAAGAGGGUGAUCGCCCACAUUGGAACUGAGACACGGUCCAGACUCCUACGAGAGGCAGCAGUAGGGAAUCGUCGGCAAUGGGCGAAAGCUUGGCGGAGCAACGCCGCGUGAGUGAUGAAGGUCUUCGGAUCGUAAAGAUCUGUUAUGAGGGAAGAACAAAUGUGUAAUGAAAUAUGCACGUCUUGACGGUACCGAAUCAGAAAGCCACGGCUAACUACGUG